UGGAUUAGUUGGAUGGAUCUGUCA
rnacentral:siRNA from 1 species